UUGACGUCUGAAUGAAAAUGUGUAAGAGGGGGAGGGGCCGGAGAAGAGUGUAAGGACAGUCCCUUUUGCAGUCUUAUGAGAUCACUUCUCUAGGAGAGACGCUAUAAAGUGAUCUGAACUCCCACAUCCUUAAGGAUAGAUGGAUUCCAAACUCCUCCCGUCACUUCCAGAAUAAAAUCCGCCUGGCUCAGCCCCUAGCGGUUUGAGCUCACUGUAGGCAGUCCCAAGAGCGGCAAGAAGUUCCGGUAAGUGCGUCUACAAAUUCGUAGCUUCACCCUAUCAACAAAAACAAGAAAUCAAGCCUAAACCUCUGCUUGCCCUGGAAGCGCCUCUCGUGUGAGAGGGCAGGGCAGGCUGGAAGGUUCGAACGGUCAGCCUACCCCGGCAAUAGUACUCAACUUCAUCCCUAAGGGACUCUCAAGCCAAGGUAGCCUUAAGGUUUUUAUCCCGGCCGGAAGGCACCGCCCCCGUGGGGCCUGGGCGGGACAGGAAAACCGGAAGUGGAACGUCGCGGAGCCUGCGUGGUGGUCUGCGGCUGCGUCCGUCCUCCUGCGCAAGCGCGAUGGGGUUCAGCUGGCUGGGUCGGUUUACCACCCCUAUCUUCGGGUCCACUCUGCGGUCCUGGAAUUGACAAGGUUUCCCAGGAAAACCGGUUAUGAAAAUCCUGUGACCACCACCAUGUAAACAAGCCUGAGCUAGCCUGCUUGAAGAGGAACAUAUGGUCAACACAUUCCCAUUAUCCCCACUGAUAUCAACCAACUGCCAGACAUCUCACUCACUCUUGGAGAAGCUGCCUUCCAUGUGGGGAGAACACUUAGGAGUCCUGUGAAGAGGCCAUGUGGCAAGGAACUGAG